GAUGAACGCUGGCGGCGUGCCUAAUACAUGCAAGUCGAGCGAACAGACGAGGAGCUUGCUCCUCUGACGUUAGCGGCGGACGGGUGAGUAACACGUGGAUAACCUACCUAUAAGACUGGGAUAACUUCGGGAAACCGGAGCUAAUACCGGAUAAUAUAUUGAACCGCAUGGUUCAAUAGUGAAAGACGGUUUUGCUGUCACUUAUAGAUGGAUCCGCGCCGCAUUAGCUAGUUGGUAAGGUAACGGCUUACCAAGGCAACGAUGCGUAGCCGACCUGAGAGGGUGAUCGGCCACACUGGAACGUAGACAGGGUCAAGACUCCUACGGGAGGCAGCAGUAGGGAAUCUUCCGCAAUGGGCGAAAGCCUGACGGAGCAACGCCGCGUGAGUGAUGAAGGUCUUCGGAUCGUAAAACUCUGUUAUUAGGGAAGAACAAAUGUGUAAGUAACUAUGCACGUCUUGACGGUACCUAAUCAGAAAGCCACGGCUAACUACGUG
rnacentral:rRNA from 1 species